rnacentral:rRNA from 1 species
UACGUAGGUGGCAAGCGAUACUCGGAAUCACUAGGCGUAAAGCGCAGGUAGGAGGUUUAGUAAGUCUGUUGUGAAAGCUCCCGGCUUAACUGGGAGAGGUCAACGGAAACUGCUGGGCUAGAGUGCGGUAGAGGUAGCUGGAAUUCCCGGUGUAGCGGUGAAAUGCGUAGAUAUCGGGAGGAAUACCUAUGGCGAAAGCAGGCUACUGGACCGUCACUGACUCUGAUCUGCGAAAGCUAGGGGAGCAAACAGG